CAUAAUUGAUAUUGUCUAAAACAAUAUUCUAUUUACACACAUUAUAUUAUAAUUUCAUUAGUAUAAUUUAAUCCUUAAAAUUUCAUAAAAAGUAUAUUUUGAAAAAUGCGUUGUUAUAAUAUAUUAUUAAUAUGUAUAUUUAUAUGUAUUGCGUCAUCAUUGGCAGGAAAAAAAAGACGUGUCAAAAAUGUAAAAGCCGAAUCUUCAUCAAAAUCUGCUGAGUUUAAGAAGAUGUAGGAAAUUAUAUUUUUGGGUAAAUUUAAGUACGAAGCCAACAUGAUUUCACAGUCUACAAAGAUUUAAAUUUAGUGCAAAAAUAUGGUUUAAAAAAUAUAUAUCGGUCUAUGAUUUUUAAAAAAAAUUAUUUAUUUUAGUAAAAUGAUUGUACUGCAUAAUUUAAUAUAAAA